rnacentral:lncRNA from 1 species
UUGUUCAUUGCCAGCAACUUGAGGUUGCCUGCGACCCUGAGGAUUUUGGAAACCUGGCAUCUCCUCUCCUUCAUUGUCCUAAGGAGAGCGUUGGCUGGAACGGGAAGGAUUAUCUUGAAGCACAGGCAGCAAGGCUGUGAAGGGUACAGCAUGGAUGCAGGGAAUCUGUCUCUGUUUCCCCUGGUCUGCCUGUCUGCCUGCAUCCUAAUGUGCUUUUCGAAGGAUGGACUCCCAAAGAGGCUGUGCUGUCUGGGAGUGUGGAGAGAGCCAGUGUCAGUACCAGCAAACCUGGAAUGAAAGAACAGUAGAGAAUUAAAGUCUUCUUCUGGGUAAGGCCCAUCCUAAUCAAGCAUAGGAGAUGUGAAAAACAAACAAAAAAAAGGGCAUGGUUCAUAUCAAGACAGCAUCUCCCUUCGUCCUAUACCUUACUCUCUUUUCCUCUAUUUUUUUUUUUUUAAAUCUCGUGUCAUAUUUUUAUUUUAUAUUAUUGCCUCUGGUGGUAAAUUGUUGAUGCUCUCGGGCUUUUGAAC